rnacentral:rRNA from 1 species
AUGUCUACGUGUCUCAUGGAUAUGAUUAGUGCCAACGGGAUUGAUUUUAUUGGGUUACAAGAGACUAUGAAAGGGACAUAUAAGCCAUCCUUUUUUAGGAAGCUUGACCUGAGACAGAAGUUUCAUUGGGAAUGGAUCCCUUCUAGGGGAAAGUCUGGAGGGAUUCUUUGUGGGAUUAGUAGAGAUAACUUUGAUAUACUUACAACUAGGCAUGGUAAAUAUAUCUUGCAGUUAGAUCUGUUUGAUAAGAUCAAAAACUGUAGUUGGUCUUUGAUGAUUGUAUAUGGUGCUGCUCAUGAUGAUCAUAAACCUGAAUUCAUCGCAGAGCUGUCUUAUAUGUGCCAUAAUACUAACAUGCCAUAUCUGGUUGGGGGGGGGGGACUUUAA